GCUUGAAAUUCUGUAUGUAUAAUCUUUGUAUGUCAGCGCAUCUUAUAGUGGUACUAUUAUCCGGCCACACACACCCAUACGCCCACCAAGUUUAAAGGACGGCAGUCAGAAGGAAGCGUUUCCGACCCCAUAGAGUAUAUAUUCUUGAUACGUAUCAAUAGUGAAUUCGAUUAGGUCAUGUCCGUCUAAGAUUAGAGGAAAAAUAAGAGAUACAGAGAUUAAGCCGGCAGAUUUCUGAGCUCCAUAAGCAACGCAAGUUUAUUUCAGCAUCCUGCCACGCCUACUAUAACGCCCACAAACCGCGAAAACUUUGGCCUUCAUAAUAUUAUAUUACUAUAUUUCUUCGUUUGACGUUAUAUAACUGUCGCGGAACGGAUUAGGGCUAUCGAUAGUUAAGUUUGAAUUUAGUAUUCAGUAUUAUUUGUGUGAGGAUUUCUAGGGUCACAUUACUCGGUCACACUAAAUCCGUCUUACGAUCUUAAAAUUUGUGGCCCGGUCUAAACCGAUUUGCAUCAUCACAGAGAGAGGGAAAAGAAACUGCGAAUAAAACACUAUCUCCAACACACACUCUUGUUGUCUUUGAUAUCGCUAAACAAGCGGUUAUAUCAACUAAUGUUCCGAAGGCACUUCCCCGUGAUCGAGGGAAAAGAAACUGCGAAUAAAACAUUAUCUCCAACACACUCUUGUUGUCUUUGAUAUCGCUAACCAAAUGGCGAUAUCAACUAUUGUUCCAAAGGCAUUUCCCCGUGAUCGGCCGAACGGCGACAUUAUCCUUUAUUCGCACUCUGCGAGAUGAUGCCCACAAAGCACUCGCCCCGACGGAGCCCCAGACAGGAUGUCUC